UACAGAGGAGCCAAGCGUUGUCCGGAUUGACUGGGCGUAAAGCGCACGCAGGCGGUCGCGCGCGUGGGGUGUGAAAUCUGGCCGCUUAACGGCCAGGCGCCAUCCCAUACGGCGCGACUGGAGUGAUGCAGAGGUCGAUGGAAUUGCCGGUGUAGUGGUGAAAUGCGUAGAGAUCGGCAGGGACACCCAGGGGGAAACCAGUCGACUGGGCAUCUACUGACGCUGAGGUGCGAGAGCGUGGGGAGCGAACCGG
rnacentral:rRNA from 1 species